GGCGGCUUGGUGUAAUGGCUAACACAUCAGUCCGGUCUACUGAAGAUGCUAGUUCGCUCCCAGCCGCCG
rnacentral:tRNA from 1 species